rnacentral:rRNA from 1 species
GUACCAGACUCCUACGGGAGGCAGCAGUGGGGAAUAUUGCACAAUGGGGGAAACCCUGAUGCAGCGACGCCGCGUGAGCGAUGAAGUAUUUCGGUAUGUAAAGCUCUAUCAGCAGGGAAGAAGAUGACGGUACCUGACUAAGAAGCCCCGGCUAACUCCGUGCCAGCAGCCGCGGUAAUACGGAGGAUGCGAGCGUUAUCCGGAUUUAUUGGGUUUAAAGGGUGCGUAGGCGGGCUUUUAAGUCAGCGGUAAAAAUUCGGGGCUCAACCCCGUCCGGUCGUUGAAACUGGGGGCCUUGAGUGGGCGAGAAGAAGGCGGAAUGCGUGGUGUAGCGGUGAAAUGCAUAGAUAUUAGGAGGAACACCAGUGGCGAAGGCGGCUUACUGGACUGUAACUGACGUUGAGGCUCGAAAGCGUGGGGAGCAAACAGGAUUAGAUACCCGUGUAA